rnacentral:sRNA from 1 species
GGAUUACAGAGGCUACAGCUAUGAGCGUGUGGAUGGUUCUGUGAGAGGAGAAGAGAGACACUUGGCCAUUAAGAACUUUGGACAGCAGCCCAUUUUCGUUUUUCUUCUGAGUACUAGGGCAGGUGAGGUUAUUAUUGAAUGUAAAACAAGGUACUGGACUUCAAGUGUGGUGCUCUUUUCUAUCCAGCCUGCCAAACUGUCAUCUCACCAAAGAAUGACUUUAAUCCUCAGAAUGACUUGCAAGCAGCUGCCAGGGCUCAUCGAAUUGGCCAAAACAAGUCUGUUAAAGUUAUUCGGCUGAUUGGUCGAGACACUGUGGAAGAAAUAGUCUAUAGGAAAGCAGCCUCCAAACUGCAGCUCACCAACAUGAUCAUAGAAGGAGGCCAUUUUACUCUGGGAGCCCAGAAACCUGCUGCCGAUGC